UGGUAGAGCACCUGACUUUUAAUCAGGGUGUCCGGCGUUCGAGUCGCCGAUGGGUCA
rnacentral:tRNA from 1 species